AGGUUAUAUAGGGCUUUGUAAGUGAUGAGGAGAAUCUUGAAAUGUAUACGCUGUUUUGGGAAGCCAGUGAAGUCGUUGUCGUUCUAGUU